rnacentral:rRNA from 1 species
AAGUCGUAACAAGGUUUCCGUAGGUGAACCUGCGGAAGGAUCAUUAUUGAAUAAACUUGCACAGGCUGUUGCUGGCCCUCAAGGGUAUGUGCACGCUUGUCAUCUUUAUCUCUCCAACUGUGCACAUAUUGUAGACCUGGAGUCCCUGUUGAUUCAUUUCGAGUUGGGACUGCUGUGCUUUGUACUUCAGAGUCAGCUUUGCCUUUUUCAUACCCAGGUCUAUGUCAUUUUCACAACCUCUUGAAUGUGUUUAGAAUGUUGAAUCAGGUCUUUUUGUACCUAUAAAGUUAAAUAUACAACUUUCAGCAACGGAUCUCUUGGCUCUCGCAUCGAUGAAGAACGCAGCGAAAUGCGAUAAGUAAUGUGAAUUGCAGAAUUCAGUGAAUCAUCGAAUCUUUGAACGCAUCUUGCGCUCCUUGGUACUCCGAGGAGCAUGCCUGUUUGAGUGUCAUUUAAAUUCUCAACCACAUCAAUUUAUUUGGUGAGGCUUGGAUGUGGGGGUCUUUUUGCGGGCUUCUGUAAAUUUGAAGUCGGCUCCCCUAAAAUGCAUUAGUGGUAUCUGAGCAGAAGAAACUACUACAGGUGUGAUAAUUAUCUACGCCUCAGUAUCCUGCACAAUCAGAUUGUGCUGCUUCUAACGAGUGGAGAUUCCCUUUGGGGGACCACAUUUGUUGAAUUUGACCUCAAAUCAGGUAGGACUACCCGCUGAACUUAAGC